UACGUAGGUGGCGAGCGUUGUCCGGAUUUACUGGGCGUAAAGAGCGCGCAGGCGGUCGUUCAAGUCGCGUGUGAAAGCCCCCGGCUCAACUGGGGAGGGUCACGCGAUACUGAUCGACUCGAAGGCAGGAGAGGGAAGUGGAAUUCCCGGUGUAGCGGUGAAAUGCGCAGAUAUCGGGAGGAACACCGGUGGCGAAGGCGGUUCUCUGGGCCUUACCUGACGCUGAGGAGCGAAAGCGUGGGGAGCGAACAGG
rnacentral:rRNA from 1 species